rnacentral:lncRNA from 1 species
AAUUUUCUUGAGAUCUGGAAAAGUUACAGAACCAGCCCCAGGAAAAAAUAAAAAAAAUCUUAGUGUAACACCUGAAUAUAAACCUGAACCUUCUAUUGUUGUUGAGGCUGGAAAAAAGUAUGUAUCACCAAUCCCUUUCCCGCAAAGAGUACUGAAAAAUAAUAAGAUUAACGAGGAAGAGCAUUCGAUUUUUCAAAUAGAGUUGCAUUCUAAAGUUGUUGAUGAAGCUUAUUCUGAUUUGUUUUCAGCGGAUUUUCUAACUUUGUCUAAUUUUGAUGAUAUUCACUCAUAUGAUGAUUGUACUAACACUAACCUUUGUGCUGAGAUUGAUGUUGUCUUACAGGGUGGCAGUAUAAAUAAAGUUGUUUAUGUAGCUGAAGCUCUUGACAUUCCGGCUGCCCCAAACAUACCAUCCAUUGAACAACCACAUUCUUUAGAGCCUAAACCACUUCCUGAGGAUUCACAUUAUUCAUCAAAGCUUCAACUUAAGCAGAAACAUAAGAAGGGAAUUGAAUGGACCUUGGCUGACACUCGUGAUAUUAACCCAUCCAUAUGUAUGCAUAGGAUCUCACUUAAAGAUGAAACAAAAGUAGUGAGGAAGCCCUGUAAUCCUUUUAUUCUUGAUGUUGUGAAAAAGGAGAUCAGUUUCACGUGCCCAUUCAACACUUUUACUUAUCAAAGAUUCUUCUUUGAUCCUGGAAUACAAGGCAAAUGCACUAAUCAAAAUUUCAAGGUCAAUGGACACUACACAAAGCUACUCCAUGAGAACCCGACUUUGGAAGAAGAGACUGUAGAAGAGCUCUCUUUGGGAAAAGCUAUUUAUACAAUCAUUUAUCCGCCUUGAUUCCUCGGGUGUGUUCUUUCCUUUCUCUCACUCUUAUUUUAUAUUUAUGUUCUUUUAUUGAGGACAAUGUAUGUUUUAUGUGUGAGGAGGGAACCAGUUAUUUAUUUUGUUUUCUUUGUUUUGUUUUCAGUUUUUCUCUGUUUUGGUUUUUGUUUGCUUUCUUAUUAAAAAAUUGUAUGCUUUUUCCCUUGGUUUUUGAGUUACAAUUAUGAGUAUUUUUCUUAGUUCCCCUGACUAAAGUCUUGUAGUGUGAUGUGAAAAAUUUGCUGUGCAUUUUUAGUAUGAUAGGUAUGACUAAACUCUAAAUUGUACAUCAUUUGUGGUAGAUCAAUUAACCUUGUGAGAUUUUGAGCCUUAUAUGGAUAACAUACAAAAAUCCACCUCUUUCUUUCUUGUGUGAUUCUCUCGUGUCUGUUAGUCUCUAGAACUUGAAUUGACUCUUGUUGAUGUCGUUGUUUACUUGUGCACACUGAUAUGAUAAAGACAAUUUUUUUGUGUGUUUUUAGCCAGUUAGCCAAAAAACCAACCCUGAAAUAAUAGUAUCCCUUGUUUGAAACCCCCUUGAGCAUAUUAUCCUUUUUUUUGUUUAAAACUCAUUACAAACUGAGAAGUAAAAAAACAAUAUUAUCACCCUAUUCAAAGGGUUGAAAGAGUCUUGUUUGGAGUUGUGUGAGGUUGAAUAAUUAUGUUUGUAAUAUUUCAGAAGUUGGUAGAAAAAGAAAAGAAAAAUAGAAAAAAAAUAGAAAAGAAAAAAAAUGAAUGAAAAAAAAUAGAAGGAUGUAUACAUGUCAAUACAUACUCCUUGUGAAAAGGGAAAAAAAGAAAGAAAAAAAAAGAGAAAGGAGAAGAAAAAUAUGAAUGAAAACAAUUACUAUAGAGUUGUUGAAGUGAAUAAAAUAUUUUGUAAAUUCAACUCCUGCAGUUUCUUUCAAGUCUCUUUUGUCUCUUUGAAUUUUAGUCUAGUACCCCCUUAGGAUUUAUCUCACCCUUACCUUGGUCACGUUACAACCAAAUAAAAGUCAUUUUGAUCUUUAUGUGCAUAUAUUUCAAUUGUGGAUGUUAUAGUCUUUUCAAGCUUAUGAUAGUACUAACUUUUGUGUUGUGCUUUGAGUGUAAACAGUUAACCUAAACACUUGAGAGUUGAGUGAAUUUUAUCUUGUGAGGAUCUUACUGCUUUUGGAUGUACUAUUUGGUAAUCUGUUUUCCUAUCUUCUUUGAAUGUCACAAGAAGUUGCUCACUAACACCAUAUUCUUGAAGCUUAGACUUAGAAUUUUGUUUGGACCUUGAUUCUUGAUAACCUUUGGAAUUGCAUUUUUGUUUAUUCUUGUUUUUCUGUUUUAAGUUUUGAACUAAUAAUUUUGCUCGGAGUGCAAAAGUUCAAGUGUGGGGAAAUUUGAUCAAUGCAUUUUGAUACAUAUUCUUCCCACUAUUCUAUUUAUGCAACUCUAUAGUUUAUUCUAUUAUUUUUACCUUUUUAGUGUGUUUUUAUAUUUAAGUUUAUUUUGGGUUUUAUUUUAUUUUCGUACUUUAUUUUCAGCAUAAAUAGUUAUUUGAUACCUUGUUACUAUGCAGAUCAUAACUUGAGCUACGAGGAUCGGAUUGAUGCGUUAUAAUAUGCAUUGGAAAACUGAGAGGAUAAGCUAAAAGUUUCAUGUUGAAGACCGAAUCUGAUUCGGAGUGAAGAAGGGUCGAAUAAUUCAUUUUAUUUACAGACUUAAGAAAAUACUUAGUUUUUGGGCCGAUUUUGUAUUUUUUGGGGUCGGGUGCUAUCAGGACCAAAUUCUCUUGCUAUAUUUAAACAACAUAGUAGUUUUAGGAUUUGUGGGAUUCAUAAUUCAUGAAAUAGAGAAUAUGAAUACCAUUGAGAGCUAAUUCCCAAAGAGUUGAUCUGCUGUAUUUGAAUUCCACUUUGAGGUUUUUAUUAAUUUCAGCUUAAUUUCGAUUUCUUUUCAAUUCUUCCUAUAAACUAGUUUGCUUAAUUCGAUUACUUUCGUUUGCUUAAUUCAAUUGUUUCUUAUAGAAUAUAGUUGAUUAAAUUUGGCUGUUUGUAUGAUCCUUAACUAUAAUCACGUUAGCGUACCUUUUUUGUUAUCGUGUUUGAUUAAGUUGUGUUUGCUUAAUUCUCGUCAGCUUAAAUCCAUUUGCUUAAUUAGGAAAUUAGGAACAUACAUCAUAUAAUACCAAUUGCGCCUGUCAUUGGGUAUUGUAAUCGAAUGAGAUUGAAUAUGCUAGGGAAUUGAAAUUAUAAGAAUCGAUGAUAAGUCGGAAAUCGAUACAAUAGAUUAGCUUAUUUAUCAAUUUUGCUUUUACCUUUAAUCAUCUUCGAUUUAAGUUUUGAACCUUAAAAAAAACGUUUUUCAUUUUUUUGGUUAUAACAUUCAAGAGUCAUUGUGAUACGACAUUCGAGUGUCGCUUCCAUUUUACUACACUUUUAAACUCAUUUUUGACCUGUGUGCGACAACAUAUCAAAUUGGUGUCAUUGUCGGAGGCUCUUGUAGAUUUUAACCAUUAUUAUAGUCAUAGGUGUUGUGUUUUAGCAUUUUUUGCCCAAACUUUCUUGCGUUCUGGUCUUUUUGCGUUUUAGGAUAAAAGAAAUCUAUUCUUUUAAGAAAAUUGUCUCAAAUUACUCUGAUUCUUUAUCGAUUCACUAGGAAAAAAUAAAGGAUCAAAACCCGAAAUUCCUUAUUUUUCUAUUUUUUAUGAUUUUUUUUUUCUGUUUUGAUAGUUUCAGAAAAUUUCGAAAAAAUUCUCAAAACUUUUAAUUGACAUUUUUAGAUUAAUUUUCGUGUUUUUUGUAUUUUUUUCCUUUUAUUUUAAUAGUUUUUUUCCGUAUUUCAAUUGUUUUUUCUUAAAAGGGACAUUGUCGGUAUUUUCCUAUUUGUUGCUGCAUUGCUGAAUUAGUUAUGUGUUUUCUCAUUGUUUGUUGAUUUUUUUCUAUUGAGUUUAACAUGGCUGACCAAAGAACUCUGAGAGAACUUGUUUCCUCUGAUGUUUAUAAUGCUUUAUGUAUUGAAUAUCCUGUUGUCUUUAUCCUUUUGAGAGGUAAUGUAUUUAUAGGAGUUUCCAUCACUUAGGGUUUCCUAGGGAAAGACC